rnacentral:lncRNA from 1 species
AUCGAAUCAUUUUAGCAACCGCGCUUUCGUACGUUCUGCGGUAAUGAAGACGGGCUCCCCUCACGAUCCCUCCUUUCCCCGCACGUAGCGGGCACCGCGAUGACGGCCGCCGCGAGGGAAAGCCGCGCGACCGAGGGCAGCCGCAGCCCCGCACACCCGCAGCGCACGCGUGGGGCUGGACCGGGAGCCCUUCGCAGCGCCCCGCACGGUUCAAGCAGCCAGGCCCCCGCCCCGUGCUCGCCCCGCGUAUCUCCCGGGUUACGAACCUCCCGUCCAGUCCCGCCCUAGACGUAAGUUUCUCUCCUCGCUUCCUGAGAGGGGCGACUCCGCGGGCAGGGCGAAAGAAAUGCGGCUCUACCUUGACAGUGCGGUCCGCCCGGCGACGUGGGGACCCGCCGCUGCCCCUCGCGAGACCCCGCCUGUUGCGCGGCCGCGCGGCUCACCGCGAGGCGAAACUUGGAUGCAACCUGCAGCAGCGCGAAGCAGCGCUCGUGCUCGCCCCCGCGCCUAAUAGGGCUUAGCAGGGAGCAGGACCUCGCCGCCCCCCCGCGUAGAACCGACGAGCCCCAAGCACUCUCGCCAUCCUGCCCAGGGCGAGCCGGGCUGCGGGAGACAAAGUUUGACACGCGAGCGGCUCCUGCCGAGCACAGGGCCGGCCCCGCGCCGCGCGGGCACACGUGCGGACGAGGCACUCACUCACCUGCCGUCGCCGCUCCGGAGCUGGCGGAGGAAAGGCAGGCGGCCGAGCCACGGCCCCGCGCUCCCUUCGCCCCACAGCGGGAGGGAAGGGGCAGGGGCCGGCAGCCCCUCAGCGGAGCAGGUGGAGCGGGGCGGCUGGCGGCGAGCAACACGUUCAGCUCCGAACUUUGCGGCUCCAGUCACAAACAAACAAAUACGACCAAGGAAAGACCUCUCCCAUCCGAUCCCAGCCUGCUCGGCAGCCGCUGCUUCUCUUAUUGACAUCUUGAAUUUUUCUGGGGAACAAGGGCUCAGUAACACAGAAGAAAGACUGUGUCUGUCACUGACAAAGGUAAAUUAUUUAUCCCCUAUAUCAUAUGAAUUGAUAUAUUUAAUUACUUAUGAUUCUAAGAUAUUCUCAUUUGAAAAAAACAAUAAUUUUCUAAGUUUACUUUAGAUGAAGUGGGAGGGUCUAACUGGGGAGCAUCCUCACUAUUGCUUUUCGAAGAGAUCUCAGAAGAAUUCUUGUUACCUAUUUCAAAUUCUACACACGUUAAUGUGUUGGGUUUGUUUGUUUGUUUUUGUUUAUUUUUUGUUUUUUAGUUUUCUUCCCAAAGCUUCUCUUCAGGAUUUUCCUAUGGGAAAAAAAGUUAAAAGUGUGGUAAAUUCAUAUUUAC